CCCCGAGUGCCCCCUUAUGGGGAGCUUUCCCCGCUGCAGGAAGGCGGGGGUAAUAAGUGGGGGGCAAGACUGGUGUCAGCCGCCGCGGUAAUACCAGCCCCACGAGUGGUCGGGACGGUUAUUGGGCCUAAAGCGCCCGUAGCCGGCCCAGCAAGUUCCUGCUAAAAUCACCGGGCUCAACCCGGUGUUUGGUGGGAAUACUGUUGGGCUAGGAGGCGGGAGAGGCCGGGGGUACUCCUAGGGUAGGGGCGAAAUCCUAUAAUCCUAGGAGGACCACCAGUGGCGAAGGCGCCCGGCUGGAACGCGCUCGACGGUGAGGGGCGAAAGCUGGGGGAGCAAACCGGAUUAGAUACCCGGGUAGUCCCAGCUGUAAACGAUGCGGACUAGGUGUUGGACGGACCUAGGGUCCGUCCAGUGCCGCAGGGAAGCCGUUAAGUCCGCCGCCUGGGGAGUACGGCCGCAAGGCUGAAACUUAAAGGAAUUGGCGGGGGAGCACCACAAGGGGUGGAGCCUGCGGCUUAAUUGGAGUCAACGCCGGGAACUUUACCGGGGGCGACAGCAGGAUGACGGCCAGGCUAAUGACCUUGCCUGACGCGCUGAGAGGAGGUGCACGGCCGUCGCCAGCUCGUGCCGUGAGGUGUCUGGUUAAGUCCAGCAACGAGCGAGAUCCCCUGCCCCUAAUUGCUACCUGCUCCUUCGGGAGUAGGGCACAUUAGGGGGACUGCCGGCGUCUAAGCCGGAGGAAGGUGGGGGCCACGGCAGGUCAGCAUGCCCCGAAACCCCCGGGCUGCACGCGGGCUACAAUGGCUGGGACAGCGGGAACCGACCUCGAAAGAGGAAGGUAAUCCCUCAAACCCAGCCGCAGUUGGGAUCGAGGACUGAAA
rnacentral:rRNA from 1 species